GAGUAAGAAGUUUUCAAGUUACUGGUUUUUUUUUUUUUUCCCUUAGUAGAAAUAGUUGUUUAAAUCAUUUUUAAAAUUAGCUGGUAAGAAUUGUAAGGAUUGAAAUUGAUAGGUUAGCUUAGAUUUGUCAGGGAGUGAGGCUUGUGAACUGGAUUACAUUAGUGUCGAAUGAGCAAUUUUAGACAAUCCAUGGGUGGAUAAUAAUGAAGAAAUAUUAAUCAGAUAUCUUGUUGGGUUGGGUAAAUAUAUAUCAUGGUUUUGAAGUUAUUGUCAUUGUCUUACUCGAUCGAAUCAAAACCUAACUCACUCAAGUGCAAGACAUCAUAUGAAUGAAUAAAAAUGAUAUACAACCAUUCAAAGAGCCUAAACUAUUGGCUGAGGUAUGACGUCCCGCACCUAGAAGUGACCUCUCCUAUCGAUAAAAGCUUGGAAGUCUAACAGACUUGAUAUGCCAAGCCCCAUUUC
rnacentral:lncRNA from 1 species